GUCCACGCCGUAAACGAUGAAUGCUAGCCGUUGGGCAGCUUGCUGUUCAGUGGCGCAGCUAACGCAUUAAGCAUUCCGCCUUGGGAGUACGGCCGCAAGGUUGAAACUCAAAGGAAUUGACGGGGGCCCCGCACAAGCGGUGGAGCAUGUGGUUUAAUUCGACGCAACGCGCAGAACCUUACCAGGGUUUGACAUCCUGCGACCGCUCCGUAAUGGGAGUUUUCCCGCAAGGGACGCAGAGACAGGUGCUGCAUGGCUGUCGU
rnacentral:rRNA from 1 species